UUGAUACAAGAUGGCAGCCUCCAUUACCACUUUGCUUUAGAAUUUUACAGAUUCAGAUUCAGAUUCUUUAUUUUAGCACAUAACUAAGUUAACAAUACAGUGUCCUUCCUUCAGAUGAGAUUUCACAGCGAUAUUGUGUGGAAAUAUACGGUAUGAUCUCACAGCAGAGAAAUCGCGUCACUACUGAUGGAUGCCGAAGAUAGAUUCUGG